GUAUUCCUGGGUUAUUCGUCAGGGAAUCAUAAUUGAACCUACAUUUAUGCAUUGGGAACUCGGAGUUUUCGACGCGUUAUGUCAUGCCCCCUCGUUCAGGGGAAGACAGAGGCCAGAAACAGAGUACCCACCUAUCUUGAGAUAGGGCAUCAAUUAUCUCCCUGACGGUACCCCGGGGCUUAA
rnacentral:other from 1 species